ensembl:lncRNA
CAUCAAAAGGAACAUAAAAUUCGACAUACCAAUUAGGAUCUGGCAAAAAAUACUUGAAUCAGUUAUAUAACCAAUUGCCCUUUAUGGUUGUGAGGUCUGGGGUCCGCUCACCAACCAAGAAUUCACCAAAUGGGACAAACACCAAAUUGAGACUGCAUGCAGAAUUCUGCAAAAAUAUCCUGUGUACAAUGUAAAACACAAAAUGAUGUACACAGAGCAGAAUUAGGCCGAUACACGCUAAUUAUCAAAAUCCAGAAAAGAGAUGUUAAAUUCUACAACCACCUAAAAGGAAGCGACUGCCAAACCUUCCACAACAAAGCCAACUCCUACAGAGAGAUGAACCUGGAGAAGAGUCCCCAAAGCAAGCUGGUCCUGGGGCUCUGUUCACAAACACAAACAGACCCCACAGAGUCCCAGGACAGCAACACAGUUAGACCCCACCAAAUCACGAGAAUACUAAAAGGACCUGAGCCCUAGGACCAUGCCUCAGGACUACCUGGCAUGAUGACUCCUUGCUGUCCCCAGUCCACCUGGCCGUGCUGCUGAUCCAGUUUCAAUUGUUCUGCCUGCGACUAUGGAAUCCUGACCUGUUCACCGGACGUGCUACCUGUCCCAGACCUGCUGUUUUCAACUCUCUAGAGACAGCAGGAGUGGUAGAGAUACUCUUAAUGAUCGGCUAUGAAAAGCCAACUGACAUUUACUCCUGAGGUGCUGACUUGUUGCACCCUCGACAACUACUGUGAUUAUUAUUAUUUGACCAUGCUGGUCAUUUAUGAACAUUUGAACAUCUUGCCCAUGUUCUGUUAUAUUCUCCACCCGGCACAGCCAGAAGAGGACUGGCCACCCCACAUAGCCUGGUUCCUCUCUAGGUUUCUUCAUAGGUUUUGGCCUUUCUAGGGAGUUUUUCCUAGCCACCGUGCUUCUACACCUGCAUUGCUUGCUGUUUGGGGUUUUAGGCUGGGUUUCUGUACAGCACUUUGAUAUAUCAGCUGAUGUAAGAAGGGCUAUAUAAAUACAUUUGAUUUUAAAUAAAUUUGAAUCUAAACGUUGCUAAAUGUUUCUACUGUUAUGUUUGUUGUGUUGUCUUAUUCUCCUCAAAGUCUUUGUGUUUCUGAAUGUGAAGUCGUCAAGAUAUAAAACAAUAGACGCCCUGGGGGCACACACACAUACACACAUACACACACCCAAACACACACAUGGAUACAUUCUAUUGCAGUGAGUCACCAACUUUGUCA